ACUAAUUUGUAUUAAAACGUUAUUUCAAAUAUCUUUUACAUUCGUUCCAAGAAGAUAUUGAUAGUGUUCGGAUUGAAAAUUUGAAUCAAUUCUACAGAGUAAGAUUUUACACUGAAAGCUAAAUGAAGUUAAAUAAUGCUUACUUCAUUAAAAAUUAUUGUAAUUUGGCUGAAUGCCAUCACUGUCAUUGGUACUCAAAUCAAUGCGAAUUCAUCAAAUUCUGAAAAUAAUACCGACUGUUCUGUAGAGCUUCUGGAACUUGGUUUUUGUACCCCGAGGGAAGUUGUAGAUCAAUCGCCAGUGAGGGAUACGUACCGGCGGGUGUGUCAACAAAGGAGGUCAAUCUUCGAUCGCCUAGUAAAUUGUUACAAGCAGUUACACGUAUAUACGACAUCGCUAGAUGUUUUGAGAUUUGCGACAAGUAACACGAGUUUGGUGGCUGGAUGAAUAAAUUCUCUUUUGAAAACAUGAAAUUCUACAGUGAUCAAAGUAAGAGCUGUGAAGUUCGAGAUAUAAACACAAUGAAACGAACUACAAAUAUAAAGGAAUCGAAUAAAUCUGAAUAACUUCACUUUUUAAUUAGAAAAAAAAAAUAUAUGUGAUAUCUCGAAAAUUUUAUCAUAGUAUUUUCAUUUUUUAACCACAAA